rnacentral:rRNA from 1 species
GACGAACGCUGGCGGCGUGCUUAACACAUGCAAGUCGAACGGUAAGGCCUUUCGGGGUACACGAGUGGCGAACGGGUGAGUAACACGUGGGUGAUCUGCCCUGCACUUCGGGAUAAGCCCGGGAAACUGGGUCUAAUACCGGAUAGGACUGCGCGGUGCAUGCCGUGUGGUGGAAAGAUUUAUCGGUGCAGGAUGGGCCCGCGGCCUAUCAGCUUGUUGGUGGGGUAAUGGCCUACCAAGGCGACGACGGGUAGCCGGCCUGAGAGGGCGACCGGCCACACUGGGACUGAGACACGGCCCAGAAUCCUACGGGAGGGAGCAGUGGGGGAUAUUGCACAAUGGGCGCAAGCCUGAUGCAGCGGCGCCGCGUGGGGGAUGACGGCCUUCGGGUUGUAAACCUCUUUCAGCAGGGACGAAGCGUGAGUGACGGUACCUGCAGAAGAAGCACCGGCCAACUACGUG